rnacentral:sRNA from 1 species
UACAACUUAAGCAACGCAGUCCCAACCUUCUACUACGUCCUUGCUGCCCUUAAGCUAGCGCCAGUGUGAAUAAGCUUCAACAAAAGCAA